rnacentral:ncRNA from 1 species
GGGGACCUCCGGGGCCCUAAACACCGGCAGCCCUCCGGGGCCGCACGAAGCAAACGGAAGACAGAAA